UGGGGAAUCUUGCACAAUGGAGGAAACUCUGAUGCAGCGACGCCGCGUGAGCGAAGAAGCCUUUCGGGGUGUAAAGCUCUUACGCCAGGGACGAUAAUGACGGUACCUGGAGAAGCAGCUGCGGCUAACUACGUGCCAGCAGCCGCGGUAAUACGUAGGCAGCAAGCGUUGUUCGGAAUUACUGGGCGUAAAGGGUGCGUAGGCGGCGCUCUAAGUUUGGUGUGAAAUCUCCCGGCUUAACUGGGAGGGUGCACUGAAAACUGGGGCGCUCGAGUAUGGGAGAGGAAAGCGGAAUUCCUGGUGUAGCGGUGAAAUGCGUAGAGAUCAGGAGGAACACCUGCGGUGCAGACGGCUUUCUGGACCAUCACUGACGCUGAGGCACGAAAGUGUGGGUAGCAAAC
rnacentral:rRNA from 1 species